CAUUAAUUCUUCAAAAGAUUAAUUUCAUAUAUGUCCCUGCAAAUAUAGUAAAUGACAAAUAUAUUUCUAUAAAAUACAACUUUUAUAUAUUGUUUUUGUAAAAGUCCUGAUGUUUUAUAUAUGUCUCUACCGUCAGAAUUCGUUAGAAACAUUUAGUUAACCAUAGAUUUAAUACUUAACUCUGUUUAGUUUUUGAUAUUUUUAUUCCUCUUAUAUUAUAUUUUUAUGACUUUUGGAGGGACAUAUUUAUGAUGAUAAAAUUAAAAAUAUAAACAGUUAUCUAACAGUAACAAAUCAGAGAGACAUAUUUGAAAAUAUUAGGACUUAGAAAUAUAUUUGUCAUUUACUAUAUUUACAUGGAUCUGUAUAAAAUUAACCCUUCUUCAAAAGUCCCUGCUCCUCCUCAUAGAGGUUUCAUUCAAUUGGUUUAAAAAUAAAGUCGAACAUGAAAUUUUUGGGAUUAAGAUAAAAAUUAAAUAAAAACGAACAUAACUUAAGCUAUGGAUUAUUUUAAAUCGACUAUCCAAACUUUCAAAAUUGUGAUUUUACCGCUCAUCCUUUCAAUUUGUUUGAUUUAAGUCAGUCAGCGGUACUUUGACUUUAAAGUUUAAAUACGUUGUUAUUUUUACAGAUUUAGUUAGCAUACUUCAUAUAAUUUUUAUAACUAAAAAUUUAUUGAAAUAAGUAAUAUUAGCUUAAAUUUUAGAAUUAAAGUGCUAUUGACUGACUAAAAUCAAAUAAAUUAAAAAUUUGUUAGUAAAAUCAAAAUUUUAAUGUUAGGUAGUUGAUUUAAGAUGAUCCAUAGUUCAUAUAUGUUUUGUACGUUUUCGCCUAAAAA
rnacentral:lncRNA from 1 species